CCUGGUUGAUCCUGCCAGUAACAUAUGCUUGUCUCAAAGAUUAAGCCAUGCAUGUGUGAGUACACACGGCCGGUACACUGAAACUGCAAAUGGCUCAUUAAAUCAGUUAUGGUUCCUUUGAUCACUCCAUCUGUUACUUGGAUAACUGUAGUAAUUCUAGAACUAAUACAUGCCGAAGAGCGCUGACCUCCCGGGAUGCUUGCAUUUAUCAUACCAAGACCAAUCAGGGCUCGCCCGACCGCUUUGGUGACUCUAGAUAACCUCAGGCCGAUUGCACGUCCCCGUGACGGAGACGAUGCAUUCGGAUGUCUGCCCUAUCAACUUUCGAUGGUACUUUAUGUGCCUACCAUGGUGACCACGGGUAACAGGGAAUCAGGGUUCGAUUCCAGAGAGGGAGCCUGAGUAACGGCUACCACAUCCAAGGAAGGCAGCAGGCGUGCAAAUUACCCACUCCCGCCUCAGAGAAGUAGUGACGAAAAAUAACAAUACAGGACUCUUUCGAGGCCCUGUAAUUUGAAUGAGUACACUUUAAAUCCUUUAACGAGGAUCCAUUGGAGGGCAGUCUGGUGCCAGCAGCCCCUUUGAUGCUCUUGACUGAGUGUCCUAGGGGUCCAAAGCGUUUACUAAAAAUUAGAGUGUACAAAGCAGGCUGGUCGCAUAAAUACUUCAUCUAGGAAUACUGGAAUAGGACUCUGGUUCUAUUUUGUUGGUUUUCGCAUCUGGGGCCAUGAUUAAGAGGGACGGCCGGGGGCAUUCGUAUUGUGCCACUAGAGGUGAAAUUCUAGGACCGGCGCAAGACAAACCAAAGCAAAAGCAUUUGCCAAGAAUUUUUUCAUUAAUCAAGAACGAAAGUCGGAGGUUCGAGGACGAUCAGAUACCAUCGUAGUUCCGACCAUAAACGAUGCCGACUAGCGAUCCAGCUGCAUUACUCCCAUGACCUGCCGAGCAGCUUCCGGGAAACCAAAGUCUUUAGGUUCUGGGAGGAGUAUGGUUGCAAAGCUGAAACUUAAAGGAAUUGACAGAAGGGCAUCACCAGGAGUGAAGCCUGGGGCUUAAUUUGACUCAACACGGGAAACCUCACCCGACCCGGACACGGAAAGGAUUGACAUAUUCAUAACUCUUUCUCGAUUCUGUGGGUGGUGGUGCAUGGCCGUUCUUAGUUGGUGGAGCGAUUUAUCUGGUUAAUUCCGAUAACGAACGAGACUCCUCCAUGCUAACUAGUUACUCUACCCCCAGUGGUCGGCGUUCAACUUCUUAGAGGUACAAGUGGCGUUCAGCCACACGAGAUCGAGCAAUGACAGGUCUGUGAUGCCUUUAGAUGUCCGGGGCUGCACGCGCGCUACACUGAAUGGAUCAGCUUGUGUCUACCCUUCGCUGACAAGUGCGGGUAACCCGCUGAACCCCAUUUGUGAUAAGGAUUGGGGAUUGCAAUUAUUUCCCAAAAACGAGGAAUUCCCAGUAAGUGCGGGUCAUAAACUCGCAUUCAUGCCCUUUGUUCACACCGCCCGUUAGCUACUAUCGAUUGGAUGCUUUAGUGAGGUCCUCGGAUCGGCCCCGCCGGGGUCUGCAACGGCCCCGGCAAAGCGCAGAGAAGACAAUCAAACUUGAUCAAACUUGACUAUCGAGAGGAAGUAAAAGUCGUAACAUGGUUUCCAUAGGUGAACUUGCGGAAG
rnacentral:rRNA from 1 species